AUUGAACGCUGGCGGAAUGCUUUACACAUGCAAGUCGAACGGUAGAGGGGGCAACCCCUCGAGAGUGGCGAACGGGUGAGUAAUAUAUCGGAACGUGCCCAGUCGUGGGGGAUAACGUAGCGAAAGUUACGCUAAUACCACAUACGAUCUAAGGAUGAAAGCGGGGGAUCGCAAGACCCCGCCCGAUUGGACCGGCCGAUAUCAGAUUAGGUAGUUGGUGGGGUAAAGGCUCACCAAGCCAACGAUCUGUAGCUGGUCUGAGAGGACGACCAGCCACACUGGAACUGAGACACGGUCCAGACUCCUACGGGAGGCAGCAGUGGGGAAUUUUGGACAAUGGACGCAAGUCUGAUCCAGCCAUUCCGCGUGCAGGAUGAAGGCCCUCGGGUUGUAAACUGCUUUUGUACGGAACGAAAAGGUCUCUCUUAAUACGGGGGACUCAUGACGGUACCGUAAGAAUAAGCACCGGCUAACUACGUGCCAGCCGCCGCCGUAA
rnacentral:rRNA from 1 species